rnacentral:lncRNA from 10 species
GCUUAGGUGCCCGAGCUACUGAGGGUCUAAGUCCGGGCAGCCGAAGAGUGUGGUAGGUAACGGUCCUCAGCGCAAGGGUCAUUUCGUCGCUGGGAAGGGACGGCCCUCGCCCGCGGUGAUGGUGGUUAGCAAGAUGAACAAAGAUGCGCAGAUGAGAGCAGCGAUUAACCAAAAGUUGAUAGAAACUGGAGAAAGAGAACGCCUCAAAGAGUUGCUGAGAGCUAAAUUAAUUGAAUGUGGCUGGAAGGAUCAGUUGAAGGCACACUGUAAAGGUAAUUAAAGAAAAAGGACUAGAACACGUUACUGUUGAUGACUUGGUGGCUGAAAUCACUCCAAAAGGCAGAGCCCUGGUACCUGACAGUGUAAAGAAGGAGCUCCUACAAAGAAUAAGAACAUUCCUUGCUCAGCAUGCCAGCCUUUAAGAUUGAAUUAGAUUGUGUUGUUGUGGUUUUAUUUCUGAAAGUAAAACUUGCCAUAAAUUAGAAAACAAUUUCCCAAAAUAAAAUCCUUUUUUGUAUGAUGGUAUACAGUUUUCAGUAAUGAUGUAUACAUUGUAUUGAUUUUUUUCCCUAAAUGUGUUAUUUUAAUAAAUAUCUCAUGAAUGAGUUUGAAGUUUGCUUGGAUUUUGAAAUGAAUGGGACUUUGUCUUUAUUACUAAUUCACCAAAUUUGUUGAGCGCAAAAGCAAUUAAUGUAGUUUAAGUAUUUAGUAUGUACAGUUCUCUGUGUUAACAGCUGAGAAGUAAGCAACCUUUUCUGACUGCAUAUGGUGUAUUCCUCUUUUGAGUCCCCAUAAUAUUUUAUAAAUUGUAAUGCCCCAUCUUGUACUACAGUUGUCUUAUUCGUAUUGUUUAUAAACUUUGAGGGUUAGGACUGGGUCUUACUCAUCUUUAUGUGCCUUCCUUAUGCUUCAAAGAAUUUACCAUCUAAUGGAAGAGAACAUUUGCAAGUUGGCUCCAUACCAAGCUCCUUCCACAUACUCUACUCAUCUGAACUUUGAAUGCAGAAUCUUUAAAUUGCAACCCCACAUACUAAGGUCAAGAAAGAACUUAAUGGGAAUUAAUCUCCACCCAUUAGCUUUACCCUGACAUCAGGAUUGCCAAAUCCAAUGGACUCUUGUCUAUUCUUACGUGACUUCUGCUGGAAAAUGCGAAUGUUGACCAUCCUGCCACUUGGAACUCUCUUCCCACUCCUCACAUUGCUUUUGCUACCACUGGAAGUUCCUUCUGUUUCUUGUGGAGUACCUUUUGCUGUCUGGGACUUGUAGAUAAUGGUGUUUCCUAGGGCUCCCUCCAGGGCCCUCUGCCUCACUAACUGGAUAUACUUUUCCUGAGCAAAUCCCAGGAAACUUGCGUCAGACCGUGACUUCAAAUACAGGUUGAUAAAUGCUAAACUGUCUCCAAACCAGACUUCAUCCUAGCCUCCACACCCAGACACCCAACUGCUAUGGAUCAACUUUUUAGAAUAUCCUCACUUCAAACUGACCUUACCUAAAAUAAUGACUUUUUCCCCCAAUAAUUGCCCCUGCUAUAUUCCUUAUU